rnacentral:rRNA from 1 species
UACGUAGGGUGCAAGCGUUAAUCGGAAUUACUGGGCGUAAAGCGUGCGCAGGCGGCUCUGCAAGACAGAUGUGAAAUCCCCGGGCUCAACCUGGGAACUGCAUUUGUGACUGCAAGGCUAGAGUACGGUAGAGGGGGAUGGAAUUCCGCGUGUAGCAGUGAAAUGCGUAGAUAUGCGGAGGAACACCGAUGGCGAAGGCAAUCCCCUGGACCUGUACUGACGCUCAUGCACGAAAGCGUGGGGAGCAAACAGG